CGGCACUUGAUGAUAUUAACCGAAAUCCAUCUCUGAGUUCCUCUGUGAGGAAUAAACAAAACGAGCUUUUUAAUCCUGAUGUCGC
rfam:Chlamydomonas reinhardtii strain CC-503 cw92 mt+ CHLREscaffold_10 genomic scaffold, whole genome shotgun sequence.